UUUCAUUCAGAAUUUGGAAUGGAAGUCUUGAAUUACCUAUCCCUCAAUCUUUGUAUCAUAUUUUAGGCAGGCGCCGAAACCAGGGGAGAGGCUGGGAGAUGGCUGAAUUUGUUGCGUCUAGCACCCUGAAGUUUGAUACCGACUUUGAUUUUGAUUCCGCAAAUGCACAAUUCAUUAAGAUGAUGCUGGAACGUGAGAUGCAGGACUGGUUGAAUAGAAAAGGUUGGUGGCAAUGUCAAGUAGAAAAUGCCUGCGCCGGAGCAGAUUUAUUUUGAAAAUAAUCAUAGGAGUAUGGAAUUAAGUCUUAAAGCAGUUACCCAGUUCCAGGGUUGUUUCCCUGAUACGUUUCUAUAACUAAUUCAGAGGGGAAGGAAAAGGCUGAGCAGGAUUCCCCAACCGAUAAAAAUCUGGAGGAUCCUAUUGGCCCAAAGUGCUACUAUGACAAGGGAAAGUCUUUCUAUGACAAGCUGUCAUCAGAUAAUGACCUCAGGUAACCAUAAUAGUCCACUCAUUUCAGAUCAUCCAACAUAUUAUGGGCCUGGCUUUCCUUUUUAGGGCUACUGUGUCUUGCCCUCCUGUUUGUAUUAUAUCAAUCUGAAAUGAUUCAGGCAGUCCUGGGCAGAGGAGCGCAGGAGGAACAUCGAGACAUUUGGAGUUCCACGUCUGUUCCCCCGGGGACGAGGAUUCCGAGGUGGAUACCGUGGGCCAAGGGAACCGAUGUUUCAAUAUCGCCGAGGCGGGAACAAAUUGCUAUAAGAUUCAGUGUCAAUCCGGCAACGUGUGAAGUCUCUAGCUGGUCCAGUGAAUCACUUGAUAACAUUAAAGGAUGAUAAGCAUGUUUACCUUGUCAGCAUUUAUGAUCAAAUCAUUCUUUGUAAAUAUUGCUAUCUAUAAAAUCAUAUACUUAUUCAAAUAUUUGCCCUAUAUUGUUCUCUAAGAUUCCUACAUUUAAACAUGAAUCAAUGCAUGAAAUUAAACUAUAACCUACGCCUAUGUUUUUCUGGGUAAGUAUUAUACAUAAACUGAAUCAAGAACCCUUCACCCUUAAAAAUGGUGUCUUUUAUUGUUGGGGCCAUAAAGUAAGCUGAGGAGGGG
rnacentral:lncRNA from 1 species